UACAUGGCUCAGAUUGAACGCUGGCGGCAUGCCUUACACAUGCAAGUCGAACGGCAGCAUGAUCUAGCUUGCUAGAUUGAUGGCGAGUGGCGAACGGGUGAGUAAUACAUCGGAACGUGCCCUGUAGUGGGGGAUAACUAGUCGAAAGAUUAGCUAAUACCGCAUACGACCUGAGGGUGAAAGUGGGGGACCGCAAGGCCUCAUGCUAUAGGAGCGGCCGAUGUCUGAUUAGCUAGUUGGUGAGGUAAAGGCUCACCAAGGCGACGAUCAGUAGCUGGUCUGAGAGGACGAUCAGCCACACUGGGACUGAGACACGGCCCAGACUCCUACGGGAGGCAGCAGUGGGGAAUUUUGGACAAUGGGGGCAACCCUGAUCCAGCAAUGCCGCGUGUGUGAAGAAGGCCUUCGGGUUGUAAAGCACUUUUGUCCGGAAAGAAAUCGCACUUACUAAUAUUAGGUGUGGAUGACGGUACCGGAAGAAUAAGGACCGGCUAACUACGUGCCAGCAGCCGCGGUAAUACGUAGGGUCCAAGCGUUAAUCGGAAUUACUGGGCGUAAAGCGUGCGCAGGCGGUUGUGCAAGACCGAUGUGAAAUCCCCGGGCUUAACCUGGGAAUUGCAUUGGUGACUGCACGGCUAGAGUGUGUCAGAGGGGGUAGAAUUCCACGUGUAGCAGUGAAAUGCGUAGAGAUGUGGAGGAAUACCGAUNGCGAAGNCAGCCCCCUGGGAUACACUGACGCUCAUGCACGAAAGCGUGGGAGCAAACAGGAUUAGAUACCCUGGUAGUCCACGCCCUAAACGAUGUCAACUAGUUGUUGGGGAUUCAUUUCCUUAGUAACGUAGCUAACGCGUGAAGUUGACCGCCUGGGGGAGUACGGUCGCAAGAUUAAAACUCAAAGGAAUUGACGGGGACCCGCACAAGCGGUGGAUGAUGUGGAUUAAUUCGAUGCAACGCGAAAAACCUUACCUACCCUUGACAUGCCACUAACGAAGCAGAGAUGCAUUAGGUGCUCGAAAGAGAAAGUGGACACAGGUGCUGCAUGGCUGUCGUCAGCUCGUGUCGUGAGAUGUUGGGUUAAGUCCCGCAACGAGCGCAACCCUUGUCUCUAGUUGCUACGAAAGGGCACUCUAGAGAGACUGCCGGUGACAAACCGGAGGAAGGUGGGGAUGACGUCAAGUCCUCAUGGCCCUUAUGGGUAGGGCUUCACACGUCAUACAAUGGUGCAUACAGAGGGUUGCCAAGCCGCGAGGUGGAGCUAAUCCCAGAAAAUGCAUCGUGGUCCGGAUCGUAGUCUGCAACUCGACUACGUGAAGCUGGAAUCGCUAGUAAUCGCGGAUCAGCAUGCCGCGGUGAAUACGUUCCCGGGUCUUGUACACACCGCCCGUCACACCAUGGGAGUGGGUUUUGCCAGAAGUAGUUAGCCUAACCGCAAAGGGGGGCGAUUACCAC
rnacentral:rRNA from 1 species